GACGAACGCUGGCGGCGUGCUUAACACAUGCAAGUCGAGCGGUAAGGCCCUUUCGGGGGUACGACGAGCGGCGAACGGGUGAGUAACACGUGGGUGACCUGCCCUCAGCUCUGGGAUAAGCCUGGGAAACCGGGUCUAAUACUGGAUAUGACUCCAUGACGCAUGUUGUGGGGUGGAAAGCCUUGUGCGGCUGAGGAUGGGCCCGCGGCCUAUCAGCUUGUUGGGU
rnacentral:rRNA from 1 species